rnacentral:rRNA from 1 species
GAUGAACGCUAGCGGCAGGCUUAAUACAUGCAAGUCGGGGGGCAGCAGGUUUGUAGCAAUACAGAUGCUGGCGACCGGCAAACGGGUGCGGAACACGUACAGAACCUUCCUUUAAGCGGGGAAUAGCCCAGAGAAAUUUGGAUUAAUACCCCAUAAUAUAUUGAAAAGGCAUCUUUUUAAUAUUAAAGAUUUAUCACUUGAAGAUGGCUGUGCGGCUGAUUAGGUAGUUGGCGGGGUAACGGCCCACCAAGCCUGCGAUCAGUAACUGGUGUGAGAGCACGACCAGUCACACGGGCACUGAGACACGGGCCCGACUCCUACGGGAGGCAGCAGUAAGGAAUAUUGGUCAAUGGACGCAAGUCUGAACCAGCCAUGCCGCGUGGAGGAUGAAGGUCCUCUGGAUUGUAAACUUCUUUUAUCUGGGACGAAAAAAGGCUUUUCUAAGUCGUCUGACGGUACCAGAUGAAUAAGCACCGGCUAACUCCGUGCCAGCCGCCGCGGUAAGAC